AUGCACCGUCCGUAAUAGGCUGCACCAAACUUGAUCCAGCCUUGAGCGACAGUGCAUAAAUCGAAAGCUGAUUUUAAUCAGCGGCGGCCAGACAACCGCUGAGAUGGAUCCACAGAUGGGUGCUUUUGUGCCUGUCUACUAAUUCUAUCUCACAAUU
rnacentral:snoRNA from 1 species